UAAUACGGAGGGUGCAAGCGUUAAUCGGAAUUACUGGGCGUAAAGCGCACGCAGGCGGUUUGUUAAGUCAGAUGUGAAAUCCCCGAGCUUAACUUGGGAACUGCAUUUGAAACUGGCAAGCUAGAGUCUUGUAGAGGGGGGUAGAAUUCCAGGUGUAGCGGUGAAAUGCGUAGAGAUCUGGAGGAAUACCGGUGGCGAAGGCGGCCCCCUGGACAAAGACUGACGCUCAGGUGCGAAAGCGUGGGGAGCAAACAGGAUUAGAUACCAUGGUAGUCCACGCUGUAAACGAUGUCGACUUGGAGGUUGUGCCCUUGAGGCGUGGCUUCCGGAGCUAACGCGUUAAGUCGACAGCCUGGGGAGUACGGCCGCAAGGUUAAA
rnacentral:rRNA from 1 species